GGGCUACAGAAAUUUCAUUUGCCAGAGACAUCAUGGAAUCUCUCUAUGGGAAACUUAUAAAAUGGGUGUUGGUCCUUGAAACUUCGGAAAGUAUGAGCCUUAAAAUACUAAAACAAUGAAACGUUUUCUGGUGUUGUAACUAAAGAGAAUCAAGGCCACAGUAAUGAGAAGGAAUGAGAAGGUUGCGUGUACCUUCGGAAAAAGGCAGCCAGAUGGGGGCCAGAAAGGAAUCCAUGAAAUAUUCCUGGCAGAAGGAGCAGAGACCUUGAGAUGGAAGAAGUGGAUGGAAGUCAAGGCAAACAGAAAGCCAGGAAUGUUGAACAGGGCUUUCUGCUACUGUGCCCACUGCCAUCUCUGCCAGUACUUCUCUCAUGUUUCAAUGACACAGUCCCAUAAAUCUGACAGG